rnacentral:rRNA from 3 species
GAUUUCUGGUGUGGUGCGCUUGGUCCGCCGCCGUCAGGCGUGUGUGUACCGAUGUGUGCCUACCAUCCUUUCCGGAGAGCCCGGCUGCCCUUCACUGGGUGGGUCGUGUGCCAUCCGGAUCGUUUACUUUGAAAAAAUUAGAGUGUUUAAAGCAGGCUGACGCUUGAAUACAUUAGCAUGGAAUAAUAAGAUAGGACUUUGGUUCUAUUUUGUUGGUUUCUAGGACUGAAGUAAUGAUUGAUAGGGACAGUUGGGGGUGCUAGUAUUUAACGGCCAGAGGUGAAAUUCUUGGAUUCGUUAAAGACUAACUAAUGCGAAAGCAUU